GUAGAAGUUUUUUUUGCAGUUGCUGUUUAACGCCGAUCCUGUGCAGCGCUAUUACCAAAGGCUUUCUAGCCGUGACCAUCCCUUCAUUUUCGCAUUAUCUUGGAGGACUACUUUCGCCAUUGUAGACCGCUUCGUUCAGACCGAAAGUGAACAGGCGAUUGUAAAGGACCAAUAUUUAACUCCUCUUCAUUUCAUCGUUCUCAGGAGGCAGAAAAGCUAAGGCAAUAUCGGUGCCCUUCAACUAAGUAAAGAUCACGAAUUUACAUAAGGAUGACAAUCAAGAAAGUGGGAAUGAAAGAAAGAAGUGGAAAAAGCACGAUCUGUGACUUGCACCUUUUAGUUCGGCCCACUCCCUGCAUAAUAUAGGCCUGAUCGAUAAACAGCUGUCCUUGGGGAACAUAACAACAACUCAAAAAUACUAGGUCACGAUUUCAUAUUUUAGAAUAUGUUUUAUUCUUUUUUUACCCUUUAAAAAAGAAUUUUAGAUAUUAAUAAUUCGGAAUGACAAACUAUAAAAUAAUUGAGUCAAAGAAGGAACCUCUACAUGGUCUGCUAGAAAUAGGUAGUUUGUUACUGUUACAUGAUCCAAUAGACAUAACAAGUAUAUAUUCUUUUAACCUGUAAUAUGUUUCAACCCUGAGGUUUUGGCCAUGCUGGGGUACCACCAGUUAGACAUAUAUUUUUUUUAAAAAUCACAUCAUGCCAUCAGAAAAAAUAAAAUACUUUUGGUUAAUUUGAUACCAAAUACGCUCUGUCUCUAUCUAAAUGGGUUAAUCGCGGCUAGAGGGGCGAUGAUGAGGGUUAUAAGAUCGACGCACACAUAAGGCUAAAUAACAAUAAGAACAACAACAGUGACAGCUGAAAGAAAUAUUGAUAAUUUUCCAAAUGCUUAAUCUAAUUGAUAGUUCUGAUAUUCUUUUGUGCCCUAAUUAAUCAAUUUAAUUACAAACAGAGAAAAUAAAAUUACAUGGCGCAGAUAUGGCUGUGUGGUUAAGAAACUAUCUUUGCAAUCACAUGCUUUCAAGCUCAAUCCUUCUGCACCGCACCAUGGAGAAAUGUCCUCCAUUCUAGUCUCGGGCCAACCAGCGCCAUGAGAGUGAAUUUGCUACACGGAAA